UACGUAGGGUCCGAGCGUUGUCCGGAAUUAUUGGGCGUAAAGAGCUCGUAGGCGGUGUGUCACGUCGGCCGUGAAAACCUGCAGCUUAACUGUGGGCGUGCGGUCGAUACGGGCAUCACUGGAGUUCGGCAGGGGAGACUGGAAUUCCUGGUGUAGCGGUGAAAUGCGCAGAUAUCAGGAGGAACACCGGUGGCGAAGGCGGGUCUCUGGGCCGAUACUGACGCUGGAG
rnacentral:rRNA from 1 species